GAAAUUCUAGUUAAUCAAAUAACAUAAGUUUGUCAAGCUUAAAUUACUUACAAAAGUGAAUUUCU
rnacentral:tRNA from 1 species